rnacentral:lncRNA from 1 species
AGGAUUAUGAUUGCGAGAUCCUUUAUCACCCGGGGAAGGCCAAUGUGGUGGCCGAUGCGCUUAGCCGUAAGGCGGCACCGAUCAGGGAUGUGUGUAUGAGGAUGACGGUGGUGACUCCACUGUUAGAGCAGAUUCGGGAAGCUCAGCAGGAGGCUAUGAAGGAGGAACAUCGGAAGAGCGAGCGAAUAGUGGGUCAAGUCACCUCCUUCGAUUAUGAUAGCCGAGGGUUAUUGACACUACACCGUAGGGUGUGGGUGCCGUAUCACGGAGGCGUGCGCCAGAUCUUGAUGGAGGAGGCGCACAAAUCCCGAUUCUCUAUUCAUCCAGGGGCGACGAAGAUGUAUAGGGAUCUUCGUCUAGACUAUUGGUGGCCCUGCAUGAAGCGGGAUGUGGCGUGGUACGUCGAGCGGUGUUUGACCUGCAGGAAGGUGAAGGCCGAGUAUCAGAGACCGCACGACAUGAUGCAACCGUUGGACAUCCCGUUGUGGAAAUGGGAAGAUAUUACGAUGGAUUUUAUCACAAAGCUUCCCAAGAUUGCGUGAGGGGUAGAUUCGAUUUGGGUCAUCGUGGAUCGAUUGACCAAGAGCGCCCAUUUCAUUCCAAUCCAGGAGAGUAUCUCGGCCGAAAAGUUGGCCGAUAUCUAUAUCAGGGAGAUAGUGGCGCGGCACGGGGUGCCAGUGUCAGUGAUAUCAGACCGAGAUGUGCGGUUCACUUCCAGGUUUUGGAAGAAGUUUCAUGAUGAGUUGGGCACUCAUCUACAUUUUAGCAGCGCCUUUCACCCGCAGACGGAUGGUCAGAGCUACCGGACCAUCCAGACAUUGGAGGAUAUGUUGCGGGUAUGCGUGCUUGCUUUCGGUGGUAGCUGGGAUACCUGUCUUCCCUUGGGUGAGUUCUCGUACAACAACAGCUACCACGCGAGUAUUGACCGUCCCCCAUUCGAGAUGUUGUAUGGACAGAGGUGUAGGACCCCGAUAUGUUGGGGUGAAGUUGGCCAGAGGGUCAUGGGGAGCACCAAGGUGGUGCUCAAGACAACCGAGAAAAUCCAGCAGGUUCGAAGCAGGCUUCAGACUGCGCAGAGUCGGCAGAAAAGUUACGCCGACAAGCGUCGAUCAGACCUGGCGUUCCAGGUUGGGGAUAUGGUUCUCCUGAAAGUGUCGCCUUGGAAAGGCGUCAUUCGAUUCAGGAAGCGGGGCAAUUUGGGCCCAAGAUUCAUUGGUCCGUUCAGGGUUGUAGCCCGGGUGGGCAAGGUGGCAUAUAGGGUGGAUCUGCCAACCGAGCUCAGUCAGAUCCACAGCACCUUCCAUAUCUCCCAGUUGCGGAUGUGCUUAGUGGAUGAUUCGGCAGUGGUGCCGCUACAGGAUAUACAGGUUGAUGACAACCUGAAUUACAUUGAGCACCCAGUCGCAAUCCUCUACCGGAAGUCGAAGGAUUUGAGGAACAAGAGGGUAAAAUUAGUAAAGGUGCAAUCGCAGCACCGAAAGGGUUCAGAAUGGACUUAGGAGCCGGUGGAAGAAAUGAUGGAGCAUUACCCCGAGCUGUUUCAGGAUCGAGCAGCAGACUUCGAGGACGAAGUCUAAAAUAAGUGGGGGAGAUUUGUAGCACUUGGUUCUUGGUACGUAAAAUUUAUCUAAGUAUUUUAUAUUUUUAGCCUUGGACUCGGCGACUGGUAGGCCCGACUCGCCGAGUGGAGACGGGUUUGGGAACACGUUUAAGUUGGUGACUCGGCGAGUCCCAGCUGUCUAAUGAAACCCUAAAUUCCAAGGGUUUUCACCCUAUUUAAACCCUCUUAUCCGCCCCAAGCUCGCCCCCUUCACCCUCAGAGCUCUCUACUGCGUUCAAGCCUUGUUCCUUAUGAUAUUGAAGCAUUUUGGUGUGUUUUCUUGAAGAUUUGGAGAGGGAAGGAGAAUAGAUAAAGAAGAGAAGAAGGAGGCAAGGCAUCCUUGUGUUAUCUCAGUGAUUUCCUUGAGGUAUAACUCAGUUUCCCUCUUUUUUCAUGCUUAUUGUCCCUUUUAACUCCAUGACAGUCCCUCUUGAGCCUUUCCCCAAGCUUCUUUGUGUACUAGGGUUUGUAAUAAGUUGUUUAGCCUCUAGAUCUAGGCAUGAUUGAGCUCCAGGAGCUUGGAUCUACUGCCUUUUAUGGAGCCAUAUUGCAUGAAAGCCCUAUAUCUACUCUUUUAGUGUAUGUUGAGACCUAAAACCUUCAUUGGUGUUUAUUUACACGUAAAGUUGGAAACUUUACGUGUUAACCAGGCCCUAGAAACCCAGAUCUAUGUAUGUUAUGAGUUGGAUUCAAGCAGAAUCGCGUGUAUAGUAUUUGCGUGUGGCAGACUCGGCGAGUNGCCCCGGCGAGUCGAGUCGCGAGUCCCCGAGUUUUCCCCUUUUUGUGUUUGCGGAGUGGAGUAGUGAGUCAUGGGGUGUGACUCAGUGAGUCGGAAGCCAGACUCGCCCAUGAAGAAACUCAGCGAGUCAAUGCCCUGACUCGGCGUGUCCAAGGCAAUCUUCUUGCCUCUAGAACAGACUCGGCGAGUUGUUCAUACAACUCGACGAGUAGGAUGAAGGAUGUUUGGACACCAGUUUAGAAGGAAAACUCGUCGAGUCAAUGCCAAACUUGACGAGUAGAGUCGGGAAAAUGGUCAUACAAAGGGAUAGGGACUCGGCGAGUUGGCAGGCCAACUCGGCGAGUCGGGUCAACUGGAAGUUGAAUUUGACUUUGACACUUCGCUUAGUUAGGGGUAAAUGGUCAUUUUACCCUGAGGUCGAUUAGCAGCAUUUGACUGAGUGUUUUGUGGGGAUUAUAGUUGGAGGAUUUCCGGGGCAGCAGCAGCAGGAGACAGUCAGUUCCCACGCAGAUCAGCAUCUACUUUGAGGUGAGUUACCUUCCAGUAGCGGUGGGUCUACGGCCACAAUGCCGGCCCACCAGUAGGGUUGUAUGAUAGAUGUUUGUCUCUGUGAUAUUCAUCCAGGUUGCUACUACAUGUGAUAUGUUAUUGUGCUAGUAUGAUAUGAUGCUAUGUGCUAGUGACAGUAGGGGGAGAUAGUCCCCUAGAACACCGGUCGAUAGGGCGGAAGGGGCGGUUAUGCCCAGCCAUGCUAGCUAGUUUGAGAUAUAUGUGUUAUUUGCUAAUGGUAGGGGUGAAAUAGUCUCCAGUAUCCGGUCGAGAGGACCGAAGGGGAGGCAAGCUCCCAAAUAUACUGUUCAGUAUCUGGUCGAGAGGACCGAAGGGGGGACCAGCACCCAUAUAUGCUAGUCAGUGUCCGGUCGAGAGGACCGAAGGGGAGGCAAGCUCCCCGAUAUACUGGUCAGUAUCCGGUCGAGAGGACCGAAGGGGUAGGUCGGGCACCCAGAUAUGCCUGACAAUAUUUGUAUGUUAUGUGAUUGUAUGGUAUGUGGUAUGUUGGGGGAACUCACUAAGCUUCGUGCUUACAGUUUUCAGUUUUGGUUUCAGGUACCUCUUCUUCGAAGGGGAAGGAGCUGGCGCGGUAGCGGCCCAUCACACACACGCCUUGUAUUCCGCACUAUGAGACCCUCCUGGGAAUUUGUACUCUAACUUUGUUAUGUUUUUAUGAAAUAUUUUUCAAGACAUGCAAUAACUAUUAUGAAAUGAUAUGAUCAGUGAACAUUUUAUUUUUAAGGUUCUCUAAGAAUAUGUUUUAAAAAUGAAAUUUUGGCUCGUAUUUUUGGGAUGUUACAAGUUGGUAUCAGAGCCCUGGUUUGAGAGAUUCAGACACACCUUCGGGGGUGUUUGAAAUCAAAUCGAGGGAUUUAAAAGAUUUUGAAAAAGAAAAUGUUUUCUAAAAGGAUACGUAAAGGGUUUUAAGAAAGAACAAAGUGUGUGAUGUGCGCGACCGGCCGAGCUCAAGUAAGUAUUCCCCAAAGUACCCAUACAAACUUAUGUUAUGUUUAUCAGUUUCAGUAGAACAGCAUGCUAGAAUAGGACUAAGGAUCUAGGAGUGAUGCCUUAUGUGCCUGCUUUAUGUGCUUCAGUGUAUGAAAAACUGCAUGCUAGAAUUGAGUACACAGCAGUAGGAUAGCCUGUUUAGGUUAUGCCUAUAUUAUGAGUUUAGCAUUGUAUGCUAGUUCAGCUUUUCUCUAUGAGGAUGGGUUUGCUUGAGAUUGUUCCCUUUUGUCUGAAUGUUGCUUGCUUUGUGAUUCGUGCGGCUCUGAGUGAUGGGAGUGAGACAUUAGGUGAAUACGUCACGUUACAUGUGAUCAGGGUUGAAUAAUCUUUGAGCGCUGGAUUUGGCCCUAUCGCGCAGCUCUUGUCUGAUUCUAACCGUUGUAGAGCCGAGUCUGUUACUCGAAGGAUUAUCUGAGCCUCCUCACAUGUGAUGGUAUUCAGGUAAUGACUAAUUGGCAUUACAAGGAGACCUUCAGCAGCUGAAGACCGGGUAGGGUGGAGUUAGAGAUUUUCCUGGGGCAAGCCUAGGAUGAGUAUAGCAGUGAUCAGCAAUAGUGAAAGGGACCUGGUGGAGUCAAGGCAGUCCUUGGAGAAGGUACGGAUAGAUGUGGAAGGUAGUAUGGGCCCGUACUACUGAAAGCAGAGGAUCCGUACCCGAACCGAGGAAGGCCAAGAUAAGACCAGGGAACUUGUAGUAGGUGUGAUCCCUCCAGAGGUAUCAGUAUCGCUAACGAUUAUUAUUUAUGUAUUUCAGAAUGGUGGUACUAUGCUCGAGGCCAGCAGUUGGCAGUACAGGAGAGGGAUCGGGUUCGGGAUCAGGUUCUGAGCCAGUAGAUGAGGGGCUACGUGAGUUCAUCGCGUCAGAGAUCACCAGAGGCAUCCUUGAGUCAACCCCCAUUAUCUUCGGGUCGAUCAAGGAAGGGAUAUUGGAGUUGAUGGAGGAUCGCCUCCGGGCAUUCAGGAGCGACAUGGCAUCUGGCCAGUCGGGAUCUCGCACACUGUCCUUCAAGGACUUCCGGGGCAGUGGUGCGCCGGAUUUUCACGGGGCGAAGGACCCCAUAGCUGCCAGACGAUGGAUUGCAGACAUUGAGUCUGCACAGUUGGCUAGCUUCUGCCCUGAGGGGUCGAAGGUGAGAUAUGCAGCAGGAUGUUUGAGAUAUCGAGCUAAGGAUUGGUGGGAGUCCGUUGGUGACUCGUUGGGAGCCUCGGCUGUCGAGGCUAUGACCUGGUCGGACUUCGUGACCAGGUUCUGGGCAGAGUUUGCACCUGCUGUCGAGCUUCAGCAGCUGGCCAGGGAGUUCCUAGAUAUGAGACAGACGACGGAGACUGUUGUGGAGAUCAACGCCAAGUUCCGGGAGAGGGCGUUGCUGGUGCCCCAGUAUGCGGGUGACGAGGAUAUGAGGAGGACCCACUAUCAUGGCAUGCUACGAGCUGAUAUUCGGGAGCAUGUCAGUUGUUCAGCUUGCCCUACCCUAGACUCUAUGAUUGUCAGGGCAAGGGAGAGGGAGAUAGAUCUGGAGCACAUUCGGAAGAGGAAGGCAGAGGAGGGGCAUGUUAUGGGGGCUUCGGGGAAGAAGACCAAGGGAUCAAAUGCGGGGCCGAAAGGCCAACAGGGGCGGGGUCGCUGCAGGAAAUGCGGCAAGGCGCACGAGGGAGCGUGCAAGUUGGGAUCGCCAGGCUGCUACAAGUGCGGCAAGUUAGGGCACUUCAGCAGGGAUUGUACCGCCCCUGCACCUUUGGUUCAGACAUUGGAGUUGCUGUGUUUCCACUGCAACCAGAGGGGCCACAAGAAGGCCAAUUGCCCCCAGUUGACAGCAUCAGUGCCGGUUAAGGCGCCAUCUCCAGCUACCCUGCGGAUUACAGAUGGCCGGCAGGGCAAGGCAGAGGCUCCGGCGUUGAGGAGCCAGGCGUUUCAGCUGACUAUAGAGGAGGCUCGCGCCGCACCUGAUGUGGUGACGGGUAUGAUUCUUUCCCUCUAUCUUAUUUGUAUGAUGUUAUGAUAUUGAUAUGUGCUCUGUGUAUAUGCGUUAGGAUCGUUCCUUGUGAACGGUAUUCCUGUUCAGGUGUUGUUUGACUCGGGUGCCACCCAAUCAUUUGUUUCCCAUACGCUUAGCAAGAGACUUACGGAGUCUUCGGGCAUGUUGGAUUGCCCUUUAGAGGUAGAGAUUGCCGAUGAUCGAUCGGUGCGACCGUUGGCAGUAUUCAGGGAUUGUGUCCUAAGGUUAUUUGAGGAGCGCUAUUUGGUGGAUUUGGUUCCCAUCCCUUUGCGGGGGAACAAGGUGAUUAUAGGCAUGGAUUGGUUGAGCCCAAAUGGGGGUGGUGAUAAAUUGCGCACAACAGUUAGUGCGGGUCAGGACCCCAAGUGGGGGAGAGUUGGUGAUCCACAGCGAGAGGCCACAGCAUGGACCCACAGUAUGUUCAGUAGCGAGAGCUAGGCGCUACCUUCAGCAGGGUUGCGCGGGAUAUGUCGCGUACGUUAUGGAUACCCGGGAUGUGGGUAAGACGACGGUGAGCAAGGUUUCAGUGGUGCGAGACUACACUGAUGUGUUCCCGGAGGAGCUUCCUGGAAUACCUCCGGAGCGUCAGGUAGAGUUCAGGAUCGACCUAGUUCCUGGUGCGGCUCUGAUAGCCAAGGCACCGUAUCGGUUGGCUCCUCCCGAGAUGCAGGAGUUGUCUACGCAGCUGCAGGAGCUGCUAGAUAAGGGAUUUAUUCGAGCAAGCAGUUCACCCUGGGGAGCCCCGAUCCUGUUUGUGAAGAAGAAGGAUGGGUCGCAUCGGAUGUGUAUAGAUUACCAGGAGCUGAAUAAGGUGACGGUGAAGAACCUUUACCCACUCCCGAGGAUUGAUGACCUCUUUGAUCAGUUACAGGGAGCAUCUUGGUUCUCCAAGAUCGAUUUGCAUUCGGGUUAUCAUCAGAUGAGGGUCAGAGAGGAGGAUGUACAGAAGACCGCAUUUCGGACGCGUUAUGGCCAUUAUGAGUUCGUGGUGAUGCCGUUUGGGCUCACCAAUGCUCCUGCCGCGUUCAUGGACCUCAUGAACCGCGUGUGUAGACCGAUGCUGGAUCGGUCUGUGAUAGUUUUCAUUGAUGACAUCUUGGUUUAUUCCAAGACGCAGGAGGAGCACGAGGAGCAUCUGAGAGAGGUUUUGGAGACCUUGAGGAGGGAGAGCUUGUACGCCAAGUUCUCCAAAUGUGAGUUUUGGUUGCGCGAGGUGCAGUUUCUUGGGCACCUCGUCAACCAGAACGGGAUUUCAGUAGACCCGGCCAAGGUGGAGGCCGUGAUGAGAUGGGAGGUUCCGAAGUCUCCAUCCGAGAUUCGGAGUUUCCUAGGAUUAGCAGGCUACUAUCGGAGAUUCAUUCAGGAUUUCUCCAAGAUAGUCGUACCCCUGACACGGUUGACUAGGAAAGUCGUGGUCUUUCGAUGGGGGCCUGAGCAGCAGGCAGCGUUCGAGAUUCUGAGGCAGAGAUUGUGCGAGGCGCCAAUCUUAGCCCUGCCCGAGGGCGUAGAGGAUUUUGUGGUAUACUGUGAUGCGUCGAUCUCAGGCUUAGGCGCAGUAUUGAUGCAGAGGGGGCAUGUCAUUGCUUAUGCCUCGAGGCAGCUGAAGCCUCACGAGGCGAACUACCCGACGCAUGAUUUAGAGUUGGGGGCGGUGGUUUUCGCCCUCAAGAUUUGGCGGCAUUACCUCUACGGGGUUCGAUGUACCAUUUACACGGACCACAAGAGUUUGAGGUACCUCAUGGAUCAGCCGAAUCUGAACAUGAGGCAGCGUCGGUGGUUGGACGUGGUGAAGGAUUAUGAUUGCGAGAUCCUUUAUCACCCGGGGAAGGCCAAUGUGGUGGCCGAUGCGCUUAGCCGUAAGGCGGCACCGAUCAGGGAUGUGUGUAUGAGGAUGACGGUGGUGACUCCACUGUUAGAGCAGAUUCGGGAAGCUCAGCAGGAGGCUAUGAAGGAGGAACAUCAGAAGAGUGAGCGAAUAGUGGGUCAAGUCACCUCCUUCGAUUAUGAUAGCCGAGGAUUAUUGACACUACACCGUAGGGUGUGGGUGCCGUAUCACGGAGGCGUGCGC